rnacentral:rRNA from 1 species
UACGUAGGGUGCAAGCGUUAAUCGGAAUUACUGGGCGUAAAGCGUGCGCAGGCGGUUGGGUAAGUCAGAUGUGAAAUCCCCGGGCUCAACCUGGGAAUUGCAUUUGAGACUGCACGGCUAGAGUGUGUCAGAGGGGGGUAGAAUUCCACGUGUAGCAGUGAAAUGCGUAGAUAUGUGGAGGAAUACCGAUGGCGAAGGCAGCCCCCUGGGAUAACACUGACGCUCAUGCACGAAAGCGUGGGGAGCAAACAGG